ensembl:processed_transcript
UGUGUGUGUGUGUGUGUGUAUACCAUGGGCAUUCAAUGUCCAUGGAGGUCAGUUUAAGGCAUUAGAACCCUUAGAACUGGAGUUAGAGAUGCUUAGUCAACAUGUGGUACUGUGGUCUGAGCCUUGGUCUGUGCAUGAGACUCUAGGUGCUCACUGCUGCCCAUCUCUCCUGCCUGUUGUACACUUUGGAGUAGAUGGUGUAGGGACCUAAGAGGGUCAGCCUGGCGUAUUUCUCUUGCUUGGCAUAGUUUGUAACAUGAAAUCAAGUGAGAGCUGGCUGAUGUUCCUCUGUGUAUAUGUUGUCCUGGGUUAUGAUGAAUGUGAAGGGGGCUGUUUUAAGAUACACUUUCAUGCAGUUCUGAGAAUCUCCUUGCUAAAAAGAUUGUUGGUCUUUUUGAACCUGACCACCAUGGCUUACUAUAUUUUCCUUAAUGUGUUUCACUGUUGCAGGCUGACACUUGCUUGUGGUGGGAUAGCUCUGAAUUCCUUUGAUGACCUGAAUCCUGACUGUUUGGGACAUGCAGGGCUUGUCUAUGAGUAUACACUGGGUGAGGAGAAGUUCACCUUUAUUGAGAAGUGUAACAAUCCCCGUUCUGUCACUUUACUGGUUAAAGGACCAAAUAAGCACACACUGACUCAAAUCAAGGAUGCAAUAAGAGAUGGCUUGAGGGCUGUCAAAAAUGCUAUUGAUGAUGG